CCAAUUACAACCAUCCCAAAGUGUAAAUUUGCAAGAGGCAGUGAAAAUUUUGUGUGAAUGUGGAGACACCAACAGCGCGUGAAGGGGGUUAGUGGGUAAUGUAGUGGAAUAGCUAGCCUAGCAGGGAUGAGCUGUGAAUAAUAUGUAAGAAAGAGUAUAGUACUACUGUCUACUGUCCCCACCACCCAUGUGCCCCUUCUUCCUGUCUCCACCACUUCCUGCUUCUCAAUCAUUAGUACCCCCUACCCCCCGCCCCCUCUACCUAUUUGCUUUCCAUUGUUGCAUCUCUUAUCUCUUCCUACCACCACUCUUUCUAACUCAAAAUAUUAUUUUUAUUACACACUUGUUGUUUUUCCUCCACAUUAGUCCUUCAUUAGUACUUGAUUUUCAAAUAUUUGUUGGGGUUGCUCAUUUUAGUUCUCUAUUUGCUCCUACUACUACACCCUACACCUACUUGCCAUCCAUUGUUGCAUUUCUUAUCCUUAGUUCCUCAAAAUUAUUUUUACAUGUUUUUUUUCUCUUUGUUGGGGUUGAGAAAUACCACAUUCGUCCUCCACCACUACUCUAUUUGGACUUGAUUUUUACAUACUUGCUGGGUUUUCCUUUGUUAGGGUUGCUUAAUUUCAGUUCUAUUUGGCCAUAAAUCCCCACAUUAGUCCUCCACCACCACCCUAUUUGAACUUGAUUUUCAAAUAUCUGCUGCUUUUUCUUUGUUUGGGGUUUGCUUAAUUCAGCUCUAGUUGCCCAGAAGUCCCAAUCAGAAUUUUCUUGCUACUUAGAGAGCUUUUCUUUUUACUACGUAAGUGAUGAAAUUGAAGCUCCUUUCUGGUUUCCAAAUAGUUGCUGCUUUUUCUUUGUUGGGGUUUGCUUAAUUCAGCUCUAUUUGCCCUUAAGUCCCACAUUAGGAGUUCUCUUGGUACUUAAGAGCUUUUUUUGGUUACAUAAGUGGUGAAAUUGGAGAUCCUUUCUUGAUUUGGCAACCAUUUUUACCUACUCGUUGUUUUUCCUUUGUGUUGUUUGCUCAAUUCAGCUUUAUUUGCUCAUAAAUCCCACAUUAGUCUCCACCACCACCUUAUUUCAACUUGGGUUUUCAAGUAAACUCUCCAAUUUUCUACAGUUGCUAUUACUGUUGCUUUAAAGUCUAUUUUAAAAAUUUUAUAAUCCUUAAUAAUAUAAUCGAUGAAUUAAUCUUUCUCGAGACAUAGGACUCUAGAUAUAUCAAUUUUUUUUAAUAUUUUUUAUUUUUUUAUAAAAAAAUUAUUUUUUCAUCAAAUAAUAUUAUUAUUUUUCUCAAAAAAAAUAAAUAUAUAAUUCAUUAUUGUUAAAAAAUAGGCCCCCUCAAAUUAGGGGACCUAAGGCGAUUGCUUUUUUUGUAAUGAAGCCGAGCCGCCCCUGCUUGAGUGCAACAUUACAAUCAUCCAAACAACAUUAACGUAUUCAAUAAAAUUUCACAAGCAAAGUUCGAAUAGGAAAGAAUGCAUGCAAGAUAGAACAAAUCUUACAAGUGAAAUCUGAAGCAGGUAAAAUAUAUUAUCACCGUAUAAAUAUAGAUAGAUUGUAUCUGAAAGACUUUCGAUUUAAGUAUAACGAUUACAAUCAGAGGUGGAGCUACCUUAGACCAGAAGAUUCAUUCAUACCUUUUUCAAUAAAAAAUUAUACUACUUUUAUAUAUAAUUAAAAAUUAUUUUUUACAUAUAUAUCUAUAUUUAUAUUUUUACUUUUAAACUUUUUUAUUAUAAAAAUUCUAUCUCCGCCACCAAUUACAACCAUCCCAAAGUGUAAAUUUGCAAGAGGCAGUGAAAAUUUUGUGUGAAUGUGGAGACACCAACAGCGCGUGAAGGGGGUUAGUGGGUAAUGUAGUGGAAUAGCUAGCCUAGCAGGGAUGAGCUGUGAAUAAUAUGUAAGAAAGAGUAUAGUACUACUGUCUACUGUCCCCACCACCCAUGUGCCCCUUCUUCCUGUCUCCACCACUUCCUGCUUCUCAAUCAUUAGUACCCCCUACCCCCCGCCCCCUCUACCUAUUUGCUUUCCAUUGUUGCAUCUCUUAUCUCUUCCUACCACCACUCUUUCUAACUCAAAAUAUUAUUUUUAUUACACACUUGUUGUUUUUCCUCCACAUUAGUCCUUCAUUAGUACUUGAUUUUCAAAUAUUUGUUGGGGUUGCUCAUUUUAGUUCUCUAUUUGCUCCUACUACUACACCCUACACCUACUUGCCAUCCAUUGUUGCAUUUCUUAUCCUUAGUUCCUCAAAAUUAUUUUUACAUGUUUUUUUUCUCUUUGUUGGGGUUGAGAAAUACCACAUUCGUCCUCCACCACUACUCUAUUUGGACUUGAUUUUUACAUACUUGCUGGGUUUUCCUUUGUUAGGGUUGCUUAAUUUCAGUUCUAUUUGGCCAUAAAUCCCCACAUUAGUCCUCCACCACCACCCUAUUUGAACUUGAUUUUCAAAUAUCUGCUGCUUUUUCUUUGUUUGGGGUUUGCUUAAUUCAGCUCUAGUUGCCCAGAAGUCCCAAUCAGAAUUUUCUUGCUACUUAGAGAGCUUUUCUUUUUACUACGUAAGUGAUGAAAUUGAAGCUCCUUUCUGGUUUCCAAAUAGUUGCUGCUUUUUCUUUGUUGGGGUUUGCUUAAUUCAGCUCUAUUUGCCCUUAAGUCCCACAUUAGGAGUUCUCUUGGUACUUAAGAGCUUUUUUUGGUUACAUAAGUGGUGAAAUUGGAGAUCCUUUCUUGAUUUGGCAACCAUUUUUACCUACUCGUUGUUUUUCCUUUGUGUUGUUUGCUCAAUUCAGCUUUAUUUGCUCAUAAAUCCCACAUUAGUCUCCACCACCACCUUAUUUCAACUUGGGUUUUCAAGUAAACUCUCCAAUUUUCUACAGUUGCUAUUACUGUUGCUUCUUCAUUGUUGGGAAAGUACAAAUUGGUGUUGUCGAACUAGUUAUUGUGCUUCUAUGUCGACGUCUGCAGAAGGAAACGGAGCUAUAAUUGAUCCUCAGAGACAGCAACAGCAGCAGCCUUCUGGGGUUGGUACAAAUGGU
rnacentral:lncRNA from 1 species